GGGGAAUAUUGGACAAUGGGCGCAAGCCUGAUCCAGCCAUGCCGCGUGGGUGAAGAAGGCCUUCGGGUUGUAAAGCCCUUUUGUUGGGAAAGAAAAGCAGCCGGCCAAUACCCGGUUGUUCUGACGGUACCCAAAGAAUAAGCACCGGCUAACUUCGUGCCAGCAGCCGCGGUAAUACGAAGGGUGCAAGCGUUAAUCGGAAUUACUGGGCGUAAAGCGCGCGUAGGUGGUUCGUUAAGUUGGAUGGGAAAGCCCCGGGCUCAACCUGGGAACUGCAUCAAAAACUGGCGAGCUAGAGUACGGUAGAGGGUGGUGGAAUUUCCUGUGUAGCGGUGAAAUGCGUAGAUAUAGGAAGGAACACCAGUGGCGAAGGCGACCACCUGGACUGAUACUGACACUGAGGUGCGAAAGCGUGGGGAGCAAGCA
rnacentral:rRNA from 1 species